rnacentral:lncRNA from 1 species
GUGCAUGGUAAUUAAGAUUGUUCAUGAGAAAGUGGGUUUUAAAAACUCCCAUCUUCUUUGUCAGUUGUUUACAGUUACAAGUAGUAUUCAAUUAUAUUUGGAUGACAGCUCUGUUCUAAAUACAUGAAAUUUAUUUUACCAACUAAUGGCAUGGAAUAAUAAACAAUGACAGAAGAAGUAUAUAAAACCAUGGAAUAAUGUCAAAAAUCUACACUCUAUUGAAUUUCAUUCAAAAUCUGUGUUAUUUACAAAGAAGAAGAAGGGGAAGGGGAAACAAUGAGCAUUGUUCACCAAAGAAAAAGUGGUAUGUAAUUUGGAAAGUUAAAUAAAAGGAGAGGGCAGAAACAGAGGCAUAUGAAUAUAUAUUAAUGUUGUUCUUGUAUGUAAUUAUUAAUUAUUAAUUAUAAAUAAAUAAGAAGGGGCCGGGUGGGGUUAUGGACAAAUGAUAAAAUGAGCAUGGCCAUAAUUAGUAUCCUCGGCUUCAUGUUGAAGCUUGACCCCGUUAUGGCAUGGAGAAGGGUCAGAAGGCGGCACCGGCCCUCUGGGUAGCUGGCCUUGAAUUGAGCUAUAGAACCCCAGAUCCUUCACUUUCAUUGCUCCCCCCCCUGCUGAAAAACCAACUAUAAUCAUAACCAUAACUAAUAUUGCACUAACCCCCCUUGAUCUCUCAUUCAAGGACAUGGCUACUUAAUUCUUCUUCUGUCGUGUGUGUGUGUGUGUGUGUGUAUGAAGAAUUUAUAGAUAGACGAAAAGGAUCGACUGGCGCUUAUAGUUAAGUCAAAUGAAAUUUGUUAAAGAGUGAGGUUGUGCGCUUUGCCUUUUAAAGGCUUUGAAAAAUAUUACCC